rnacentral:tRNA from 1 species
GGAACUGUGCCCGAACGCCAGGGACCACUUUGAUAGAGUGGCUUACAGGGGCUAAAAUCCCCUCGGUUCUU